GACGAACGCUGGCGGCGUGCCUAAUACAUGCAAGUCGAACGCAUUUUCUUUCACCGUAGCUUGCUACACCGAAAGAAAAUGAGUGGCGAACGGGUGAGUAACACGUGGGUAACCUGCCCAUCAGCGGGGGAUAACACUUGGAAACAGGUGCUAAUACCGCAUAAUUCCAUUUACCGCAUGGUAAAUGGAUGAAAGGCGCUUUUGCGUCACUGAUGGAUGGUCCCGCGGUGCAUUAGCUAGUUGGUGGGGUAACGGCCUACCAAGGCUGCGAUGCAUAGCCGACCUGAGAGGGUGAUCGGCCACACUGGGACUGAGACACGGCCCAGACUCCUACGGGAGGCAGCAGUAGGGAAUCUUCGGCAAUGGACGCAAGUCUGACCGAGCAACGCCGCGUGAGUGAAGAAGGUUUUCGGAUCAUAAAACUCUGUUGUUAGAGAAGAACAAGGAUGAGAGUGGAAAGUUCAUCCCUUGACGGUAUCUAACCAGAAAGCCACGGCUAACUACGUG
rnacentral:rRNA from 1 species